UUAGAAAUGUGUUAAAUGAAUUCCUGUCAUUGGAGCAGCCAUAGGUAUUUAAACUAUUGAUCCAGCAGCCGAAACUGGCGCUUUUCUAUUUUUAUUUAUAAAACUUACGACCAGCUGUUGCCAUUAAAGGGUACGGACGCUGACUGGUAGUUGUUAUAGAAGUUUUCACAAAUAUGUUGUUUGUAUAAAGAAAUCUUUGUGAAAAACUGGCUUGCAAUGAAGUUGAGUUAUGGUUCCAAAGCUGCAUUAUGGGGAUAGAAAGUCUCAUUAUAGUAUUAGACAAUCCUGUUGGAAUUUAUUUUCCUGGAGAGGAAGUGUCUGGAGUAGUUCACAUCUCAAAUGUCAGCAGUAAAAUACUGAAAGGAAUUUACCUGGAAUGUCAAGGCUAUGCAAAAUUUUGUUUCAAUGAAUUGAGUAGUCAGACUUACUAUUCAGCUGAAGAAACUUAUCUAGACCUGAAAAUUCCUCUAAUUACCAAUGAAGGCAGAGAAACAUUUGAACUUGUCAGUGGAGUUCACCAAUUUCCAUUUGUGUUUGUACUUCCAAAAAAAUUCCCUCUUCAUUUCAAACUGAGAUGUUGGAAAAAUUUGGCUAUGGCCAUGUCAAAUACUCAAUCAAAGUAGUUUUGAAGAGAUCUUCACGUCAAGCAAAUGGAGAAACCUGCACAUUCCAUUCACUGGGAGUUUUGAAGCCGUCAUGGAAACCAAAUUAGGAAUAUGUGCUCGCUUUUACAGUUAAAACCAUUGUUGACUUAAAUACAAUUUUCAAUUACCGGAGUGAUCGCUUUAGCGAUCACGAAGGGUAAUUGUAAUUGUACUAGGAUAUAUGAGAGAGAGACCCUAAGGGUGUAGACCUAUUUAUUUUAGCUUUUUCAAAGAGAUUGAAGGUCACUUGGCCUACCUCUGGCCCGGCACGCCCCCCUUUUACUCAGACUUAAAGAAAGCGUGCCGCCAACAGAUAAAAUUUGCCUGUGAAAUAAAGAGCACAGAAUGCACAGGUGUAACGAUUCAAACAGAACAUAAACAAAUCUGGUGAACAACAAAAUUGACAAAUGGCAAGUGACGCCUUCAUGAACAGGGGGAAACUCAAGAAACUUCUUUGGUGGUAUGGUUGAUCACCCGGUACACCUUCAUUGGUCUCCGUUCUCCUUACGAUAACUUCCUUUGGACCAUCUAUCUGGUUGAACCCUAGGCCGUUUCGGCAAACAACAACAUUAGAACAGGUGCAAGGAUAAAAUGAGAUGGGUGGAUUGUGGGUUGGGAUUCAAGACCCUUAGGGUCUCUCACUCAUUUAUCCUAGUACAAUUACAAUUACCCUUCGUGAUCGCUAAAGCGAUCACUCCGGUAAUUGAAAAUUGUACAGCGGAACAUUCCGCUCGACCCUAAGGGUGACUUCAAAGAUUCACGCAUCGGACAAAACCGAUGCUGAAAAUGUUGGGUUUGUUUGGCGAUUAUAAAAGCGACUGAAUGUCGAACGGCUUGAC